rnacentral:rRNA from 1 species
CCUACGGGGGGCUGCAGUGGGGAAUAUUGGACAAUGGGCGAAAGCCUGAUCCAGCCAUGCCGCGUGUGUGAAGAAGGCCUUCGGGUUGUAAAGCACUUUCAGUGGGGAAGAAAGCCUUGGGGCUAAUACCCUCGAGGAAGGACAUCACCCACAGAAGAAGCACCGGCUAACUCCGUGCCAGCAGCCGCGGUAAUACGGAGGGUGCGAGCGUUAAUCGGAAUUACUGGGCGUAAAGCGCGCGUAGGCGGUCUGAUAAGCCGGUUGUGAAAGCCCCGGGCUCAACCUGGGAACGGCAUCCGGAACUGUCAGGCUAGAGUGCAGGAGAGGAAGGUAGAAUUCCCGGUGUAGCGGUGAAAUGCGUAGAGAUCGGGAGGAAUACCAGUGGCGAAGGCGGCCUUCUGGACUGACACUGACGCUGAGGUGCGAAAGCGUGGGUAGCAAACAGGAUUAAUACCCUAGUAGUC